AGCUGACUUGAAUGAUGUGGAAUGAAACACCACCAACAGUGAAGUCAAAAAGAGAGCCUUUUUUCAUGUUUAUUUUAAGAAACUUUCAUUAAAGUUUCUUAACUGUAAGAAAUUAAAGCUGGUCUGGGAUAGGCUCAGUGCAUGUGGGAUGCACCCAACACUGGUGGUGGUGGUAUGUGGGCUCUGAAUGUCGCAUCCGAAGGGAAGGGCUUCUUCUCCUCUCGAAUGCAUUUCUCAAUGGCCAUAUUGUGAAGAUCAUAAAUGUGUUGUUUUAUUAAGAUCAUCAGUCAAGGAAGGAUAUACUUGGAAGAAAAAUUGGAAAACUAGAGGUCAUUGAGCUACAUACUUGAAGAGAUGUGCUGCAGAUCUGUCAGUUUCACGGCCUGCUCCAGGAUGCAGAGAGCUGAGCUUGGACCUCCAGCAGAUGUCUAACAGCCAUCGCCACCAUUCUGAACGAAAGAGUGGGAGCAAAGGAGACUUGCUGCAGUUACCUGCAGGACCCUUCCACCACCUGAGAUGCAGGCAGAGCUAUACAAUCAAGGCCCACCCCAAAGACAAGAGCUGCACUGUAUUAUCGAAAUAUGCACUGGUUCUUCUCUCUGCUACCAUACAAGGCAACUCUGCAUUCCUGCUGCAUUUCCCAGGGUCUUGCCUCGUCCCAGUGUGCUCAGCGUACCACAGACGGCAUCUGCUGGGUGACUGCAGAACAUCAGGUGGCUGCUGCAAACCUUCCACCACGAAAAUGAAAAUCAAGACUUGAUUCAUGUGAACAACUCAUCUAGGGCAACCAAGAAAUAUUUUUUUAAUUUCAGUGAGAUGUUACUUUUUAUUUCAUUUUAUAUAAAUGAAAAGUUAAUAAAUAUAUGAAGCUUGA